GAUGAACGCUAGCGGCAGGCCUAAUACAUGCAAGUCGAACGAAGCAGCAAUGCUUAGUGGCGCACGGGUGCGUAACGCGUAUGUAACCUACCUUUUACUGGGGGAUAACUUCUCGAAAGAGAAGCUAAUACCGCAUAAUGCAUUAAGGUCACCUGGUCUAAAUGUUAAAGAUUUAUUGGUAAAAGAUGGGCAUGCGUCCAAUUAGCUAGUUGGUAGUGGAACGGACUACCAAGGCUACGAUUGGUAGGGGGUCUGAGAGGAUGGUCCACCACACUGGUACUGAGAUACGGACCAGACUCCUACGGGAGGCAGCAGUAGGGAAUAUUGGGCAAUGGACGAAAGUCUGACACAGCCAUGCCGCGUGCAGGAUGGAGGCCCUCUGGGUUGUAAACUGCUUUUGACAGGGAAGAAAUACACCAUGCGUGGUGAGCUGACGGUACCUGUAGAAUAAGCACCGGCUAACUCCGUGCCAGCCGCCGCGGUAACAC
rnacentral:rRNA from 1 species